rnacentral:ncRNA from 1 species
AAAAUUUUUAUAGUUAAAAUAAAAUUUUAUAUAAUUUAUAUUAUAAAUAAAUUUUAGUGUAAUUCUAAUUUAAAAAAUUUUUUUAAUAGUAAUUAAUAUUAAAAAUUUAAGAAAUUAAGAUUUAGUAAUAUAAAAAUCAUUAACUAAUUUUGUGCCAGCAGUUGCGGUUAAACAGAAAAUGAAUAAAUUUUUAUUAGUUAUAAUUAAUUUAAUUAAUUAAAUAAAUUAAAUUAAAAAUUAUUAAGUAAAAUUUUAAUUAAAAAAAAAUUUAUAUUUAAAUUUAAUGUAUUAAAAAAUUUUAAAUAAAAACUAGGAUUAGAUACCCUAUUAUUAAAAAUUAAUAAUUAAAAUACUAAAAUAUUAUAUAAUUAUUUAUAAAAACUUAAGUAAAUUGGCGGUAUUUUAUUAAAUUUAGAGGAAUCUGUUUAUUAAUUGAUAAUCCACGAAUAAAUUUACUUAAUUUAAAAAUUUAUAUAUCGUUGUUGUAAAUAUUUUUAAAAAAAAAUAAUAUUUAAAAAUUUAAAUAUAAAAUUAAUUCAAAUCAAGAUGUAGUUUAUAAUUAAGAAUAUAAUGGAUUACAAUAAAUUUAUUUAAAUGAAUUUUAAAUUGAAAAAUUUAAAUGAAAUUGGAUUUAAAUGUAAUUUUUUUAUUAAUUUUAAAAAAUGAUUUUUAAUUAAAAUAUGUACAUAUUGCCCGUCACUUCUAUUAAUAAAUUAGAAUAAGUCGUAACAAAGUAGAGAUACUGGAAAGUGUUUCUAGAAAGAU